rnacentral:rRNA from 1 species
GGUCAAGUGAAGAAGCGCAUACGGUGGAUGCCUUGGCAGUCAGAGGCGAUGAAAGACGUGGUAGCCUGCGAAAAGCUUCGGGGAGUCGGCAAACAGACUUUGAUCCGGAGAUGUCUGAAUGGGGGAACCCAGCCAUCAUAAGAUGGUUAUCUUGUACUGAAUACAUAGGUGCAAGAGGCGAACCAGGGGAACUGAAACAUCUAAGUACCCUGAGGAAAAGAAAUCAACCGAGAUUCCCUUAGUAGUGGCGAGCGAACGGGGACUAGCCCUUAAGUGGCUUUGAGAUUAGCGGAACGCUCUGGAAAGUGCGGCCAUAGUGGGUGAUAGCCCUGUACGCGAAAAUCUCUUAGUCAUGAAAUCGAGUAGGACGGAGCACGAGAAACUUUGUCUGAAUAUGGGGGGACCAUCCUCCAAGGCUAAAUACUACUGACUGACCGAUAGUGAACUAGUACCGUGAGGGAAAGGCGAAAAGAACCCCGGAGAGGGGAGUGAAAUAGAUCCUGAAACCGUAUGCGUACAAGCAGUGGGAGCCCACUUUGUUGGGUGACUGCGUACCUUUUGUAUAAUGGGUCAGCGACUUAUUUUCAGUGGCGAGCUUAACCGAAUAGGGGAGGCGUAGCGAAAGCGAGUCUUAAUAGGGCGUCUAGUCGCUGGGAAUAGACCCGAAACCGGGCGAUCUAUCCAUGGGCAGGUUGAAGGUUGGGUAACACUAACUGGAGGACCGAACCGACUACCGUUGAAAAGUUAGCGGAUGACCUGUGGAUCGGAGUGAAAGGCUAAUCAAGCUCGGAGAUAGCUGGUUCUCCUCGAAAGCUAUUUAGGUAGCGCCUCAUGUAUCACUGUAGGGGGUAGAGCACUGUUUCGGCUAGGGGGUCAUCCCGACUUACCAAACCGAUGCAAACUCCGAAUACCUACAAGUGCCGAGCAUGGGAGACACACGGCGGGUGCUAACGUCCGUCGUGAAAAGGGAAACAACCCAGACCGUCAGCUAAGGUCCCAAAGUUAUGGUUAAGUGGGAAACGAUGUGGGAAGGCUUAGACAGCUAGGAGGUUGGCUUAGAAGCAGCCACCCUUUAAAGAAAGCGUAAUAGCUCACUAGUCGAGUCGGCCUGCGCGGAAGAUGUAACGGGGCUCAAACCAUACACCGAAGCUACGGGUAUCACGUAAGUGAUGCGGUAGAGGAGCGUUCUGUAAGCCUGUGAAGGUGAGUUGAGAAGCUUGCUGGAGGUAUCAGAAGUGCGAAUGCUGACAUGAGUAACGACAAUGGGUGUGAAAAACACCCACGCCGAAAGACCAAGGUUUCCUGCGCAACGUUAAUCGACGCAGGGUUAGUCGGUCCCUAAGGCGAGGCUGAAAAGCGUAGUCGAUGGAAAACAGGUUAAUAUUCCUGUACUUCUGGUUAUUGCGAUGGAGGGACGGAGAAGGCUAGGCCAGCUUGGCGUUGGUUGUCCAAGUUAAGGUGGUAGGUGGCUGAGAUCUUAGGUAAAUCCGGGAUCUUAAGGCCGAGAGCUGAUGACGAGUCGUCUUUUAGACGACGAAGUGGUUGAUGCCAUGCUUCCAAGAAAAGCUUCUAAGCUUCAGGUAACCAGGAACCGUACCCCAAACCGACACAGGUGGUUGGGUAGAGAAUACCAAGGCGCUUGAGAGAACUCGGGUGAAGGAACUAGGCAAAAUGGCACCGUAACUUCGGGAGAAGGUGCGCCGGUGAGGGUGAAGGACUUGCUCCGUAAGCCCAUGCCGGUCGAAGAUACCAGGCCGCUGCGACUGUUUAUUAAAAACACAGCACUCUGCAAACACGAAAGUGGACGUAUAGGGUGUGACGCCUGCCCGGUGCCGGAAGGUUAAUUGAUGGGGUUAGCUAACGCGAAGCUCUUGAUCGAAGCCCCGGUAAACGGCGGCGUAACUAUAACGGUCCUAAGGUAGCGAAAUUCCUUGUCGGGUAAGUUCCGACCUGCACGAAUGGCGUAACGAUGGCGGCGCUGUCUCCACCCGAGACUCAGUGAAAUUGAAAUCGCUGUGAAGAUGCAGUGUAUCCGCGGCUAGACGGAAAGACCCCGUGAACCUUUACUAUAGCUUUGCACUGGACUUUGAAUUUGCUUGUGUAGGAUAGGUGGGAGGCUUUGAAGCGUGGACGCCAGUUCGCGUGGAGCCAACCUUGAAAUACCACCCUGGCAACUUUGAGGUUCUAACUCAGGUCCGUUAUCCGGAUCGAGGACAGUGUAUGGUGGGUAGUUUGACUGGGGCGGUCUCCUCCUAAAGAGUAACGGAGGAGUACGAAGGUGCGCUCAGACCGGUCGGAAAUCGGUCGUAGAGUAUAAAGGCAAAAGCGCGCUUGACUGCGAGACAGACACGUCGAGCAGGUACGAAAGUAGGUCUUAGUGAUCCGGUGGUUCUGUAUGGAAGGGCCAUCGCUCAACGGAUAAAAGGUACUCCGGGGAUAACAGGCUGAUACCGCCCAAGAGUUCAUAUCGACGGCGGUGUUUGGCACCUCGAUGUCGGCUCAUCACAUCCUGGGGCUGAAGCCGGUCCCAAGGGUAUGGCUGUUCGCCAUUUAAAGUGGUACGCGAGCUGGGUUUAGAACGUCGUGAGACAGUUCGGUCCCUAUCUGCCGUGGACGUUUGAGAUUUGAGAGGGGCUGCUCCUAGUACGAGAGGACCGGAGUGGACGAACCUCUGGUGUUCCGGUUGUCACGCCAGUGGCAUUGCCGGGUAGCUAUGUUCGGAAUAGAUAACCGCUGAAAGCAUCUAAGCGGGAAACUAGCCUCAAGAUGAGAUCUCACUGGGACCUUGAGUCCCCUGAAGGGCCGUCGAAGACUACGACGUUGAUAGGUUGGGUGUGUAAGCGCUGUGAGGCGUUGAGCUAACCAAUACUAAUUGCCCGUGAGGCUUGACCAU